rfam:Lupinus angustifolius cultivar Tanjil contig_23767, whole genome shotgun sequence.
UUGGCAUGGUGAAGAUAUGUUUAUUGUCAUCUGAUAUUUCUCAUGACGAAUAUAACACCUCCUACUCAUUCUGA